CCUACGGGUGGCAGCAGUGGGGAAUAUUGGACAAUGGGCGAAAGCCUGAUCCAGCCAUGCCGUGUGUGUGAAGAAGGCCUUCGGGUUGUAAAGCACUUUCAGUGGGGAAGAAAGCCUUGGGGCUAAUACCCUCGAGGAAGGACAUCACCCACAGAAGAAGCACCGGCUAACUCCGUGCCAGCAGCCGCGGUAAUACGGAGAGUGCGAGCGUUAAUCGGAAUUACUGGGCGUAAAGCGCGCGUAGGCGGUCUGAUAAGCCGGUUGUGAAAGCCCCGGGCUCAACCUGGGAACGGCAUCCGGAACUGUCAGGCUAGAGUGCAGGAGAGGAAGGUAGAAUUCCCGGUGUAGCGGUGAAAUGCGUAGAGAUCGGGAGGAAUACCAGUGGCGAAGGCGGCCUUCUGGACUGACACUGACGCUGAGGUGCGAAAGCGUGGGUAGCAAACAGGAUUAGAUACCCGGGUAGUC
rnacentral:rRNA from 1 species